UCAAUGGACAUUUGAUACCCUUCUCACCAAGGAUGGCAGCUUGAUUGAGCUAUUUUAUGACUGUCUGUAAUUAUAUUGCAAAGGAAUUAUUUUCUGAGAAGGAUUUUCCUGAAGAAACCUCUACCUGGAACUAGGAACUGACUGGAACUCAAGUGUGACAGUACCUGGCACAUUUCAACAAGAGACACUGAACACAGCAUGGAAGGAACACAAGUCCCUGCGUGGCUUUGUUCAAGUCAGACUCGCGGGCAUAAAGUCUAUACUCUGUUUUUUAACAGUCUCAUGCAAGUGCCACUGAGAACACAUACAAUAGAGUGUCUGGCAGCACUGGAGAGCAACCCAGCACCUGCAUAUGCCAGGUAAGUUGCUCCUACCACUGAUCCACAGUCUCAGCCCAAGAAUUUUUUUGAAAGGAAGGAUGUAUCUCAAAGCUAUAAUACUUUCCUCUCAGAAAGAAGGUACAGCACAGGGAAUGUCAGUUAGAAGAGACUUUAAUUGUAUCUUUAAUGUAUAAUUUCCCUAAAAGGAAACAACAACAGCAAAAGAAUAUGAUGAAAAAUACUAACAUUAAUAAAUUUACUAGUCAGGGUCCAAUCAGGAGACAGAAAUUAUACAGGAAAUUUAGUAAAAAAAUUAAUGGAGAGCCUGGGAAUGUAACUCAUCGGUAGAAGACUUGCCUACCAUAUGCAAAUCUCUGUGUUCCAUCCCUAGCACCAAAUACACACACACACACACACACACACACACACACACACACACACAAGCCCCCCAGGAUUAACUAGAGUGGUAGAGGAACCUCUGAAGAAGAGUAGCAGAAGUGGGGAGCAAUUACUACCUCCAGACCUAAGAAAGCAUACGCCAGGAAGGAACACACUUGGAGCAUAUCCCUAUCUGGAUACUGAGAUUCAGAGCCCGGCUGUGGACGACGCGGAAAGUUCACUAAAGUGCUUCAGUUCAGCCUGGACCACAGCUGGUGGUCCCUCUAGCGCCCUCUAUCCACAAACCCUGAUGGAGAAGUGUUUACAGGGUACAUAUCUGCCGGAUUAAAAACCAAGGCAAAUAGGGUGGAUUUAGAGCCAAAAAGUAAUAAAUUGAUUACUGGCACAUUAGUGAUGGAUAAUGGGAAUACAGAUGUUGGUUAUAUUAUUAUAUGUGGUUUAAAGAUCUCAAAAUAAAAAUGUCAAUGCCAAAUGUGGCAGCACACACCUGUAAUCCCAGCCACUUGGGAGGCAAAUGGAGGAGGAUGCUGAAUUCAAAGC